ensembl:processed_transcript 4933439C10Rik RIKEN cDNA 4933439C10 gene
UGCCGUUGUGCCCCAAUCCCUUCCAGCCACAAUUCCAUUUCAAAGGCAACGCUGCCAGAGUCACCCAAAUCAGUACGGCUGGAGAAAUGCAGACCCAGCGAUCCGCGGUGCUCGCCGAAGCAUCGGCCCGCGCCUUCGUGGCUUGGAGAUGAUCUACAAUUUCUCUGUUUAAGGAAGACUGUAGCACUCUGGGUCCCUCUGAGCAACCAGGACAGUCCUGGUACAUGGUAGGAAUUCAGUUCCCUUAAAGAAGGUGGUUUGAUAGAGACACCCCACCACCGGCGGACUUCGGGCUUCCGUUUCCUUCUAAUAACUGGGACGAUCACUUCCGACUAGUAGGUAUGGAGUCAAGUGUCCAGAUUUUGGGACAUUAGGAGAUGAGUCAAGUGGAUGAUUUGUUCCCCAAGUGCAGCAGAACACUGAGCAAGCAAGGGUCACCCGAGGCUGGGACUUGAGCCUCGCAGAGAGCAGUAGGAACCACCUAGACCUACAAAUCCACGACGAUCCCUUUUCAAAAACAACCAGCCAGGAAGCACGGCCUGGAAUGACCGAAGACCCCUUUGGGGAGUCAAGCCUAGUGAUUAGUCCAGCUGUGCAGCCUAAGGACUGCUGUUGAGGCUCCUGCCUGGUGGGCUGCUCAAUACUCAGAUUCCUGCUCAGAGGCCCGCUAAUUGGAACCCUCAUGCGGGUAAAGGUAAAACGCAGCGCCAGGAGGUGGCUGGUACAUGGGAUUUUUCUCCCCACACACUUUCCCUUUAGUUCCUCCCAUGAGCUCACAACUCUCAGGAUUUAUUUAGGUCCCCUCUCGCUGUCCGUAGCCACCAAUGACUCCAAAUAUGCCUUCAUUCUGUGUUUCUUCUGCAUAGAGCCUGGAAUAGGGACUAAUAGAUUGGGUUCGGGAAUCAGAACACCUGUGUUAAAUCAUACCCAUCUAAGCGCAGUCAGGUGAUCUAAGGCCUGCGUGACCUCUCUGUGCGUCAGGUGCCUCCCUCACAUAGGAGGCUGAUGCCGCCUGCUUCAUUUCUAGGCUAUUCAGGAAAUAUGUCCUGAGGGUCUGCAAGACAUCUACAGUCUGACGCUCCCAUCCAGAUCCUGGGACCCCACUGGCCAUCGGAGGGGCGAAUAGUGAGCAGAGCUCGGGUCUGUGGAAGCCCCGGGGAAUCUGAGAGCAGCAGCCUCAGGACUGAGUGCUGAGCAGGGCCUGAGAGUUGUUACUGCGCUGUAUUGAGGAGUCAGGUGUGUCAGGCAUCCUGGCAAAGGUGGUCUUUGAAAUGAAGGAGUUGAGGUGAUGGGGCCCUGGGGCAGCCACAGAAAGGCAUUUAUUUCACUCUGUAACAAGCAGGGUUCUGUCAGGAGUUGUGGGUGAAGUACCCGAUGACACUUGUAAACCUUGCUCUGUGGUCCCGAUGAUCCCCCCAUCUCUGUUACCAUUAAUCAGAGUGAAAGCCUUAAAGUGAAUGGGACCUUGACUCUUUUUUUUUUUUUUUUUUUUUUUUAAAGAUUUAUUUAUUAUAUGUGAGUACACUACAACUGUUUCCAGACGUACCAGAAAAGAACAUCAGAUCUCAUUACGGAUGGUUGUGAGCCACUACCAUGUGGUUGCUGGGACUUGAACUCAGGACCUCUGGAAGAGCAGUCAGUGCUCUCAACCACUGAGCCAUCUCUCCAGCCCAGGACUUUGAUUCUUGCCAAGAAUAGGAAGCAGACUUGAAAGUCAACUUCUUAUCCCUUGGCUGUGGGGGUACUAUAGCUAUGAAGUAACUGAGGGGGGCCGACUGCCUGGGUGCAUGCCUGGAAGUCCCAGCACCUGGGAGGCUGAGGCAGGAAGAAGGAGAGCUGGAGGCCAGCCUGAGCUGUGCUGCAUGUCUAGAAGCAAGACGGCCCAGGCUACACUUUUCUCAAGGGGCAAAAACUAAGGAAGGUGGGGGCACCAACUAACAAAAUAGGAAUAUUACUUUUUUUUCUGGGGAUUCUGGAAAAUUUCCAGAAAAUCCAAUGUCUCUUUUUAUUCCUUUUAUGAUCCUUGGCAAUUAUUAACUCUCAGGAGAGUGGAGGCAUUGCUUAGCUACAGAUGGUUAAAGAUUCAUGGCACCUUAAGUUAGCUUAGAUCUAGCCAGUUUGAACUGGCCUCCCAGAAAAGAUACUUUGGCCUUUAGAUACUUUUGGCCAGCUCUUCUCUGAAAUAGAUAGGGAGAGGAAGAAGUUUAGCCGGGUCACUGAGGUAGAACUUGGGGUGACACAGAGAAACCUAAGAAGAAAACCCAACUAUAAGCAGCUAGAAGGGAACAGAGUGGUGUGGUGCACAGCUUUAAUCCCAGCAGAGGGAAGUGCAUCCCUGUGAGUUCAAGAUCUACAGAGCUGGUCUACAGAGUGAGUUCCAGGACAGCCAGGGCUACCCUGCGUAGGAAAAUAGGGAAAAAGGAAGCUGGAAGGGGAAGGACUGGCGUACAGUAAAAGGAAGCUGAGAAAAAUUGGGAGAUCACUGGGAGGGGGCAAAUAAGGGUAAUGGAGGCAGAUACAAUCAAAAUACCUUAUAUACAUUACUCUUAAGGCACAGUACAUGUCUGAAUAUCUUAGGUCCAAUAGACUAAACUGGUUUUCCUGACAAGGGUUCCCAAACAAUGGAUGUUUGUCUGUCUGAUUCUUCCACAUUUGCAGGGAUCACACUUGGAUGCGUGUGUAAGCUGUGCUGUAGCUAGUUCAGGUACUGAAUCUUUAGAACUUGCUGGAACUCGUUGCCUUGGUCUAUUUUGGCAGGUAUGGGAUACUCAAAGCAUUUAUCAUUCUUCUUGCUGUAUACAAUUGGUUAUAUUCUUUUGUAUGACUCCAAGAGGUUAAGUUAGACGUUCCUCUGAUGCUCGUGAUCCUGCGUGUCUAGCUGCUUACAUAGUGUCACUGAAUCUUACCUGAACUCUCAUGCUCAUUCUCUCUCACUUCUCUUUCCUCCUUCUGGUCCUCUUGCUUCCCUUCAGCCUCCUUUAGAACUCAUUAUCCUUUAGCGUAAUACCAUCCUUAACCAGCAGUUUAACUCCCCACUCCCUCAAAGGGGACUCAUUUGUCUCACUAAUGCUUAUGCAUGUAUUACUGUAAUAAAGUAAGUUUCUUAAAUGUAAAUUUUUCAUUGUGCAGUCAUAUGUAAGCAAUAAAACAAAAAUAGCAUCGC